rnacentral:other from 1 species
ACUAUCCUAAGGUGUCGGUCCAAAUUUAAACCUACAACUUUUAUAAGGGAUUGCGGAGUUCUAGCUUUGAUGGCAAGCCCCCUUUGAGGGGAAGUCAGAGAUUCUAGACAGCUUGCCCACCUUCACAUACGCGAAGGUCUUAAAGAUAGGGCCCCCUUGGGAUUUAA